GACGAACGCUGGCGGCAGGCUUAACACAUGCAAGUCGAGCGCCCCGCAAGGGGAGCGGCAGACGGGUGAGUAACGCGUGGGAACGUACCCUUUGCUACGGAAUAGCUCCGGGAAACUGGAAUUAAUACCGUAUGUGCCCUACGGGGGAAAGAUUUAUCGGCAAAGGAUCGGCCCGCGUUGGAUUAGCUAGUUGGUGGGGUAAUGGCCUACCAAGGCGAAGAUCCAUAGCUGGUCUGAGAGGAUGAUCAGCCACAUUGGGACUGAGACACGGCCCAAACUCCUACGGGAGGCAGCAGUGGGGAAUAUUGGACAAUGGGCGCAAGCCUGAUCCAGCCAUGCCGCGUGAGUGAUGAAGGCCUUAGGGUUGUAAAGCUCUUUCACCGGAGAAGAUAAUGACGGUAUCCGGAGAAGAAGCCCCGGCUAACUUCGUGCCAGCCGCCGCAGUAAGAC
rnacentral:rRNA from 1 species